GACGAACGCUGGCGGCGUGCCUAAUACAUGCAAGUAGAACGCUGAAGGAGGAGCUUGCUUCUCUGGAUGAGUUGCGAACGGGUGAGUAACGCGUAGGUAACCUGCCUGGUAGCGGGGGAUAACUAUUGGAAACGAUAGCUAAUACCGCAUCAGAGUAGAUGUUGCAUGACAUUUGCUUAAAAGUUGCAAUUGCAUCACUACCAGAUGGACCUGCGUUGUAUUAGCUAGUUGGCGGGGUAACGGCUUACCAAGGCGACGAUACAUAGCCGACCUGAGAGGGUGAUCGGCCAACCUGGGACUGAGACAAGGCCCAGACUCCUACGGGAGGCAGCAGUAGGGAAUCUUCGGCAAUGGACGGAAGUCUGACCGGGCAACGCCGCGUGAGUGAAGAAGGUUUUCGGAUCGUAAAGCUCUGUUGUAAGAGAAGAACGAGUGUGAGAGUGGAAAGUUCACACUGUGACGGUAUCUUACCAGAAAGGGACGGCUAACUACGUG
rnacentral:rRNA from 1 species